rnacentral:rRNA from 1 species
AGUGAACGCUGGCGGUAGGCCUAACACAUGCAAGUCGAACGGCAGCACAGUAAGAGCUUGCUCUUACGGGUGGCGAGUGGCGGACGGGUGAGGAAUACAUCGGAAUCUACUUUUUCGUGGGGGAUAACGUAGGGAAACUUACGCUAAUACCGCAUACGACCUACGGGUGAAAGCAGGGGAUCUUCGGACCUUGCGCGAUUGAAUGGGCCGAUGUCGGAUUAGCUAGUUGGAGGGGUAAAGGCCCACCAAGGCGACGAUCCGUAGCUGGUCUGAGAGGAUGAUCAGCCACACUGGAACUGAGACACGGUCCAGACUCCUACGGGAGGCAGCAGUGGGGAAUAUUGGACAAUGGGCGCAAGCCUGAUCCAGCCAUACCGCGUGGGUGAAGAAGGCCUUCGGGUUGUAAAGCCCUUUUGUUGGGAAAGAAAAGCAGCAGGUUAAUACCCCGCUGUUCUGACGGUACCCAAAGAAUAAGCACCGGCUAACUUCGUG